CUUUAACCGUACAUUUGACAGACACGCCCGUGCUGACUUUUUUGUAGAUCUUAUUGAGAUACAUGUGUGUGUCAAUUUUUGUGUCAAUAUGACAAAGCGUACAGGCGUGACAGUCAAUAGUGUGAAUUUUCACCUUAGGGGGCGCUAUGGAGCCAUUUUGCAUUUUAUUGUUUGGGCGACUUCAGAAUAUCGAAUUUUUCACCAGGCCCGGUCGUCCUGUCAAAUUUCAUGAGUUUUCGCCAGUGGGAAGUGGGCCAUUUUCCCCUUCAAAGGGGAGGAAAAAUAAGAAGAAAGAAAGAAAGAAAGAAAGAAAGAAGAAAGAAAAACUCAUCAGGAACAACAGGGCUCUCGCAGCUGCUUAGCAGCUACGCUCGGGCCCUAAUAAUAAGAAGAAGAAGAAGAAAGAAGAAUCCAUCAGGAAUAAUAGGGCUCUCGCAGCUGCUUAGCAGCUACGCUCGGGCCCUAAAGAAAGAAAGAAAGAAAGAAAGAAAGAAGAAAGAAAAACCUAUACAGGAAUAAUAGGGCUCUACGCCCGGCUGCUCUGCAGCUGGCUCGGGCCCUAAUAAUAACAAAAGAAGAAUCCAUCAGGAACAAGAGGGCUCUCGCAGCUGCUUAGCAGCUACGCUCGGGCCCUAACUAGGGCCCCGUUGGGGCACUGGCGGGCCCGAGCUGUGUCGCGCCCCCCCCCCCCCCCCCCAACGCGCUGCCUCCCCGUCCCAUUCGCGUCCUCUGGCCAUCGUCCUCUCUGGUAACGCCCAUCACUGCAAAGACCCUUUUCCUUCAUCGGCGUUUGCUGUUCUUCCUGCCAGUGCGUGUGGCUUUCACUUGCACUUGCCACAGCCAGCCUCGUGAGUGCCUAGCCUAUUGGAUAUCACUGUCACCUACACAGGACAGUCAUUACCUUUCUAUUAAUACUUUGUUUUUUAAUUUCACAUUAAUUUCCAUAUUGUAUAAACGACUGGAAAAAACUUGAGCCCCUGCCCCUGUAUAAUCAUGUGCACGUCCCUGUUCUAGCUCCAAGGUGAAUCUUCACUGCUCAUGUUCUCCUCAGAAGCAGUCACCUCACUCCCCUCAGGUUACUGUACACAUGCACCAACUGCCUGCUUCAGGUUUGGAUGGAGCUUCAUGGUUGUCUUUUGGAGAAAUGAGCAGUCAAGUUGUGUUUGAAAUUUCAUUUUUUUCAGGGGCAAAAGGAAGUCUCUGCAUUGUUGUCAAAUAUGUAAAUAGCAUGUUUUUGCAGGUGCUGAAAAACAGACUCUGAGUGUGUAUGUGUGUGUGUGUGUGUGUGUGUGUGCGUGUGUGUGUGUGUGUGUCUGUGUGUGUGUGUAUCUGUGUGUGUGUAUCCUGCAGUACUCUGUACUCCUGCAGUGGCCAAAACGACUUUUAAGAAUGUGGGUAUUUGGGUCAUCUUUGGCGCCCCCUAGAACGUAAACCAUGGGGUGCAGCGGCAUGAUUUUUACAACUUUGAAUGGCCAUGGGGUGUAGAUUGGCCUGAGCAAAUUUGGUGUCAGUGGGACGAAAGCCUUAGGAGGAGUUAGCCACAUUCCAAUGUGUGCGAAUCGGCAAAAAAUGCAAAAUAGCCGUUUAGCCGUACAUUUUACAGAUACGCGCGCAUUGACUUUUUCGUAGAUGUUAUUGAGAUACACAUGUGUGUCAAAUUUUUUGUAAAUAUGACAAAGCGUACAGGCGUGAAUCUCAACAAUGUGUAUUUUCACCUUAGGGGACAAGAAAAAAUUGACUUUUUUGUCCUGCCAUGGGGGGGGCGCUCUUUUGGGGAGUAAAAAUUCCUUCACAAAUGUGUUGAUGGCUGGACAUUGCAUCAUCCUAGAAAACUUGGAGGCCAGUGAGGACAAAAAUAAAAAGUUAUAAAACUUUUAAGAAUGUGG
rnacentral:lncRNA from 1 species